UACGAAGGGGGCUAGCGUUGCUCGGAAUUACUGGGCGUAAAGGGCGCGUAGGCGGGUCGUUUAGUUAGAGGUGAAAGCCCAGGGCUCAACCCUGGAAUUGCCUUUAAUACUGGCGGCCUUGAGUAUGGCAGAGGUGUGUGGAACUCCGAGUGUAGAGGUGAAAUUCGUAGAUAUUCGGAAGAACACCAGUGGCGAAGGCGGCUCACUGGCCCGAUACUGACGCUGAAGCGCGAAAGCGUGGGGAGCAAACAGG
rnacentral:rRNA from 1 species